GAGGCACUUGGGCUUGGUUCUGGCAGGCGGAGCGGACGGGGCUGAGAGCGGGGCCCUACGGGCGUAAGCGAGGUUACCCUACGCGAGUGGCGUAAAGCGGGUUUGUAAAUGCCGCCUGCCGGCUUGGGCCCGAACGCCUCCAGGAAGUCUCCUCUAGGUGGGGGCGGGAGGGGAAGGGCGAGGUUGGCCCCUGGUGCCCCGGGAGAGGGGACAGGGCGGAUGUGCCUGGGGUGGGGUCCUUUGAAGGUGUGGCUUCGGACCGAGAGGUGAGGCUGCUGUUUUCCCCCUGCUUUGUAAGUAAGAGAAAAGGGAGGAGGAAGGAAAGGGUGCUUGGGAGUCGGCUCUUGGGGGUGACUCGGGUUAUGCCCUUUGAGGGAAGAGGAGCACUGGAAGAAGGAAGAGACAAAUGUUGGGGUCUACGGAUUCAGUUCCAGUUUAAUGAUGUGGCCCUCUAAGGAGAUAAUUUUGCCUUAAACAGAAAGACUUGACCCUCUUAGGUGUCAUACCUAAGCUUUCUCCUCUAAAUCUUGGUCUCUUGUUUGGAAGUGACUAACAGCAUUUUGGCAUGAGAAAGCCCUAAAAAGAUCAGUGUGUUUUUUGUGUCCAAUUCUUUUAUCACCAAAAAAGAGAAGAAAUAUUGCAGUGAAUGAAGAUUCCUCUGCAUUUUAGCACUGCUUUUUCAACUGUAGUUGGCUUUUGAAUGAGGAUGACAAUGGAAGAGAUGAAGAAUGAAGCUGAGACCACAUCCAUGGUUUCUAUGCCCCUCUAUGCAGUCAUGUAUCCUGUGUUUAAUGAGCUAGAACGAGUAAAUCUGUCUGCAGCCCAGACACUGAGAGCCGCUUUCAUCAAGGGCAAAAAGGAAAGAAAAUCAUCAGCAUAAUGAUUAAAAUUGGCAGGCAUCCUACAGGAAACAAACAUCAAGUGUGAUUACAGAAUUUACUGGGAAAAACUGAAAUCUGAAGAUUAACUCUGGCUUUGGCUGAAAAAGAAAAUCCAGGUCUCACACAAGACAUCAUUAUGAAAAUUUUAGAGAAAAAAAGCGUGGAAGUUAACUUCACGGAGUCCCUUCUUCGUAUGGCAGCUGAUGAUGUAGAAGGU
rnacentral:lncRNA from 1 species